CUUCUAGUAUUAUUUGAAGUCGUGCCUGCCCACUGAAUAUGGAAAAUAAAGGGCCGCGGUAUUUUGACCGUGCAAAGGUAGCAUAAUCAUUAGUCUUUUAAUUGGAGGCUGGGAUGAAUGGUUUGACGAGAUAACAGCUGUCUUUCUAAUAAGUUUGGAAUUUUACCUUUAAGUCAAAAGGCUUAAAUUGUAAUUGGGGACGAGAAGACCCUAUAGAUCUUGAUUCUUUUUAUAUUAAUUUAUUGAUGGUUGUUGAUAUUUUUUGAUGUAAGUGAAUUUUGUUGGGGUGAUGUGAGAAUAAUUGAACUUCUUUUUGAAUUUACUUUGCUUUAAGGGUUUGGGAUCCUGUAUUAUGGAUUUAAGAUUAAGAUACCUUAGGGAUAACAGCGUUAUUUUAUUUGAGAGUUCUUAUCGACAAUAAAGAUUGCGACCUCGAUGUUGGAUUAGGAUUAUAUUUUGGUGUAGAUACUAAAGUUUGUUGGUCUGUUC
rnacentral:rRNA from 1 species